CCAAGUGUUUAUCGGUUGGUGAAGGUGUAAACAAUGUAAUCUACACUUACGAAGGAGUGCCAUUCAUCCGUAGAAAGGGGCGGAGAGUUGACAGAAGCUACAGUGUUCAGCACCCUUGAAGAUAUUACAGAAUUUAAAAAAUUAGUUACAGGUGACCAACUACAUAUUAGAUUAUUUCGUCUAGGUAACGUGUCCAGAAUAGGAAACCCACAAAGCCAGGGAGUAAAUUGGGGUUUCCAGAACCCUGCUAAGGAGGAAUAGGAAGUGAUUGCUUAUAGUGCCAGGCUUCCUGCCACGGAAUGAAAGAGUUGUGGAACUGGACAGUGGUGAUGGCUGUACGAUUUUGUAAACAUACAAAAACCAAAACGUACUUUAUCCCUUGGCGCUGGAUCGUGAGCUUUGAGAGUUUUAUGGUAUGUGGAUUAUAUGUCUUAUCGGUCAUUUCACUAGCUGGAGUCAGAUACCUGAUCAUAAAACAACCUAAAGUGUUUGGACUCAUAGUUUGUGGGUACAAUCUGUCACCAUGGAGACACAGGACGUCCGAUUACGUUCCAUCUACGUUCAGCAGACGUGGAGAGGUGAAUGCUGGUGUCCUGGCGCUUCACUCGCUUUGUCCGUUGUAUUUAGUGAGAGGCUACAGGCCAGCGGAUGGUGCCACAUCGUUCUAAGUGGCCCUUCCUCAGUUAAACCUCUCUGGAACCUACCC
rnacentral:lncRNA from 1 species